rnacentral:rRNA from 1 species
UACGAAGGGGGCUAGCGUUGCUCGGAAUGACUGGGCGUAAAGGGCGCGUAGGCGGAUGGUACAGUCAGAUGUGAAAUUCCUGGGCUCAACCUGGGGGCUGCAUUUGAUACGUGCUGUCUUGAGUUCGGAAGAGGGUCGUGGAAUUCCCAGUGUAGAGGUGAAAUUCGUAGAUAUUGGGAAGAACACCGGUGGCGAAGGCGGCGACCUGGCCCAAUACUGACACUCAUACACGAAAGCGUGGGGAUCAAACAGG